rnacentral:rRNA from 1 species
UGGGGAAUAUUGCGCAAUGGGGGAAACCCUGACGCAGCAACGCCGCGUGAAGGAAGAAGUAUUUCGGUAUGUAAACUUCUAUCGACAGGGAAGAAAAACGACGGUACCUGAGUAAGAAGCCCCGGCUAAUUACGUGCCAGCAGCCGCGGUAAUACGUAAGGGGCAAGCGUUAUCCGGAAUUACUGGGUGUAAAGGGUGAGUAGGCGGUUUCGCAAGUCAUAUGUGAAAGACUAAGGCUUAACCUUAGAGGCGCAUAAGAAACUGUGGGACUAGAGUGCAGGAGAGGCAAGCGGAAUUCCAAGUGUAGCGGUGAAAUGCGCAGAUAUUUGGAAGAACACCGGUGGCGAAGGCGGCUUGCUGGACUGAAACUGACGCUGAGUCACGAAAGCGUGGGGAGCGAACAGG